rnacentral:rRNA from 1 species
GAUCCUGGCUCAGGAUGAACGCUAGCUACAGGCUUAACACAUGCAAGUCGCGGGGCAGCAUAGGGUUUCAGCAAUGAAAUUCGGAUGGCGACCGGCGCACGGGUGAGUAACACGUAUCCAACCUGCCCUUUACUCGGGGAUAGCCUUGCGAAAGUAAGAUUAAUACCCGAUGGCAUUGGAUUUCCGCAUGGGGAUUCAAUUAAAGGUGAAAAAUUGGUAAAGGAUGGGGAUGCGUUCCAUUAGGCAG